rnacentral:misc_RNA from 1 species
GUGCUCUUCCCCACUCUUGGGGAAAGGCUUCCAGAGUAACUCCUCCUUGAGCUUCUUUUUGAUGCAGGAGAAAUGCUGUGUGAGUAGCUCCUCCUUGAGCCCCUUCUUCGGCUAGGUGAAAUGGUGCUUGAGUAGCUCCUCCUUGAGCUUCUCCUUGUCCUCUGUGGGCUAGGACUCCAGGAAAUCGAGCGAUAACGAUGUCUUCUAUAGUAACGAUCAUCUGGUGAAUAAUAUCUAGAAUCAUAAGGAGAGUGUGAAUGAUCAUGCCUACUUACAGGGUACCUACUGUAAGGAGACCUGGAGUACGAUCUGCGCCUGCUAUAGUAGUAGGGAGAAUGUGAUCUGCGUCGACGGUAAUAAGGAGAGUUGGAUCGGCGCCUGCUGUAGUGAGGAGAAUAUGACCUGCUCCUACUGCGUUCAGAUGAAUAAUAAGGUGACUGACUCCUGCUCCUCUGAUAAGGAGAGUAGCUGGGUGAUCGACGAGGAGAAUAACUAGGUGUCCAGCGUCGAACACGAAUAGUUCUCAGCCCCAAAUACUUUCCAGGAGUAGGAGUUCGUCCUCUCCGC